CGGGGUGAGGAGCUGCGGUCUGUGAGUCCUCUCCCGCCAAUGGGUGGACCGCGCUGGCGGCCGCGAGCUCGCGGAGCUGGUCAACAAUCUUGGAAGCCACACAUUGAAGCUGGAGGAGCUCCAAGGUAGAAGGACCCUGAGUUCCUGAAUUACUAUUUAGAGCCCACCUUUAAGUAGAAACACUCAUGUACGGGAGCAAGAGGUAUGUUGCAUUGUACAAGAUGAAGUUAGCUCUAAUAUUCUUUGAUGCAACACUGGACAAGAUGCUAUGUGUGGAGCUCUGCACUGGAAGCUGCAGAUACAGCCAUGAGUGGAGGAUCGGGGUCUGGGUCUGUAAGCACUAAGAGCCUGAGCAGUGGGCCAGUGCUCCAAUGAAGCCAGAGGCCUCCUGGGUCCUGACACAGCUGGGGAUGGGCGAGUACUUUAGUGGGGCAUGAGAUGAAGGGCAGGAAACAAGGCUAAAAAAAGGAGAAAGGGGGCUUCUGUACCUCAUGAGGAAUUUAGACUCCAUCCUGUAUUCCUGUUAGCCCAACUUUGUUCCUUUGUCCCACCAUCACUGUUUUGGCCAAUUCUGUGCUAUGGUGGUUAAUAGCAGGGCCACCAGAGCUGCAAGUUCAGGUUUGUAUCUAUGCUUUGCUGCUUACUGGCAGCGUGACCUUGGGAAAAUUACCUAACCUCUCUGUGCUCCAAUUCUUCAUUGCAGAAUGGAGAUGAUACCUCAUAGAAAUGUUAUGAAGGCUCAGUGUGUUACUACAUGUCAAGUGCUUACAAACAGUGCCUGACACCUAAAAAGAAUUCAAAAACCAUUGGCUGGUAUCUUUAUACCUGUGUACCAUUGGAAGUGAUGUUUUAAUAUAUGGUUUAGAAACGCAUAGCACUGUACAUGGAAAUUCAGGAUGUGAAGAUCCAUACUAACAAUUUAUAUCAUCUGCACAAUGUAUACCCCUGGAAUGUAGAGGCAGAGAUUUGGUUACUGAGGUUUUAAAAAAUCACUGGGCAUGGCUGAAAAAUGCUCCUGUAAUCCAUGUCAACUUUGUAAGAUGAAUUACCAUAGGCAUAACUACUUGAGCUUCCCCCUGAGAAAAAAAUAUGUGAAAUCACUAGUGUAAUUUUAAUAAUUAUACAUUAAAAUAAAUAUAUUACUAUUAAAAUUAAAAUUGUUCAACCCUCUGCUUCCUAAAACUUGUUUAUGCAUAAAACCCUUAUUGUAUACAAUGAAGAGACAGAAAUGUUUUAAGCAGGGAGUGACAUGCACAGAUUUGUAUUUAAAAAUUUUUAGUAAUAUUGCCUCCUUUUUUGUUCCUUUCCUUACCCUCAAUGUGAGUGCUUGAUAAGCAGAGGGGAAGAUAAAUCAGGCUUUGCAAAAGCUGGGAUUAACUUGCCUUUUUCACACAUAGCAUUGUUUUCCUGUUCAGUUGUAACAUGUCAUAUUGGUUUUGAAUACAAUGUUUUAAAUAGAGUAAACAAAACACUUGGAUUUCUCAAAGAGCUGAGGCCACAACAGAACAUUUGCACAGCCUGUUAUUUCUAGCUGGAAUGCUCUUUACCUGCCUUCCACUUAGCUCCUACUUACUUAACUUCAGAAUUCUGUAAAGCAAUAUUUCAUAGGGAAGCCUUACUCUGUCUAGCUUACCAGUCAGAUUGCCUCAUUAUUUAUUCAUCUGAUGCAAGUCUAUGUCCUACAGUUUAUCACAGUUGUAACUAUACAUUUAUUGGUGUGACCACUUGAUUAAUACCUGUCUAGCCCACUAGAUGGUAAGAACCAUGAGUAAAAGGAUCAUGCCUGAUUUUGCUUACCACUUAUCACCAGUACUUUGCACAAUGCCUGGCACAUAAUAGGAUCAAUAAAUAUUUUUGGAAUACAUAAAUGAAUGAAUGAAUUAAACAUCAUUUUUAAGGCACUCCAUUUUACCUUCAUUAUAAACAUGUAGAAUAGAAAGAGCACAAAAUUUGAAAUUGUCACCUGGAUUUAUGUCUAUAACCCACCUCUUAUGAACACUGGUCUGGCCACAUGCUAACAUUUUUGAGCUUCUGGAUCCAGUAGUAUCACUUAUCAAUAGGAUUUUGGUGAAAAUAAAGUAGUAUAAUACAAGGGAAAGGGUAAUGUGUAUAUUCUAUUAGUGUAUACAUAUGUUAAACUAAUUAUUGCUCUGAGUUGGUCACAUACAGAAGUUCAUAGAAUACUUUCUACCCUCAAAGAAUAUGCUUUCCUUGAACUUUCAAAAUACACUCACACAUGUACACACAAUGAUCACAAUGGUUACAGAAUAGUAUGAAACAGUGUGGCAUAAAAUGUGGUGCUACAAUUUUCAAGGGGACUUUUUAAAAUUUUAAUUUAAUUUAAUUUAUUAUUAUUAUACUUUAAG
rnacentral:lncRNA from 1 species